GCUGCCAUAGAUCAAUGGAAGAUCCACCCAGUUUGACUUGGUUAAUUAUGGUUUGAUUCCAUGUGGCAGCA
rnacentral:tRNA from 1 species